rnacentral:snRNA from 1 species
GUGCUCACUUCGGCAGCACAUAUACUAAAAUUGGAGCGAUACAGAGAAGAUUAGUAUGGCCCCUGCGCAAGGAUGACACGCAAAUUCAUGAAGCGUUCCAUAUCUUU